rnacentral:misc_RNA from 1 species
UAGUUUUCUAAGAAAAUUGAAAAAUAAAGUUUUAUGUUCACGUGUCAAUUUUCCAAAUAGAGAAAUGGAAAACUAAUUUUCAAGUUUCCUAAAAUUUAACGAAGAUUUAGAAACAGUUUUAUAUUGUUUUCCAUUUUUUUGUUUUAUAAUAAAAGUUCUAGUUUCCAAUUGUUUUUCAAAUGGAAAACAAUAUCUUUUCUAUAACUAAAAUCAUACUAUGACAUUUCCG